UUCACCAGCACUCUCUGGGCCCGGCCCUCCAGCCAGUUCCUAACCCAGCACAGAGUGCCCCUGUUCAAGCCUCAGGCUGCCAGUUUUUUUGGGAGUAUGCUGUGGGAGAUGGUGUCAAAGGCUUUGCUGAAGUCCAGGUGCUGUGUGAUUGCAUCUAGGAUGAUCUGUUCCACAACCUUGCCAGGCACUGAGGUCAGGCUGACGGGCCUGUAGUUUCCCGGGUCCUCUUUCCAGCCCUUUUUGUGGAUGGGCAUGACAUUCACCAACUUCCAAUCGUCUGGGACCUCCUCAGUGAGCCAGGACUAUUGAAUUGCUUCUCCUCCUUUUAGAAAAAGUUGGAUCUUGAAGUACUGCAGCUGCAUGCCCCAUCCCUUCCCUCCAGCCUCUCACACUCUAAGCAAUUUCUGGAAGGGUUAGUGAUUAAUUGCAGUCAUCUGUAGAGAUUUCUUCCCAUGCGACAGUUUACUUUGUCACAAUUCACUAUGUAAGAAUUCACAGAAACAGUAAAAAAAGGAGGUGUGAGUAACCCUUGUAGUCCUCUGCAAAAUUGUGCAAUAUGCAGAUUGUGCUCUUUGUUUAUUCUAUUUUUCAAUAAAGCAAUCACUAAAGGGUCAGUUGAGAGAUCUCAGAAACUCCUGCCUCCUCUCAGAUUCACACACGUAUCUCCCAGUC